GCCAGAGUGUGGAGGUGCCAGGGUGUGAGUGCCAGAGUGUGAAGGUGCCAGGGUGUGAAGGUGCCAGGGUGUGAAGGUGCCAGGGUGUGAGUGCCAGAGUGUGGAGGUGCCAGGGUGUGAAGGUGCCAGGGUGUGAAGGUGCCAGGGUGUGAAGGUGUCAG